CCCUAUGGUUGAAUGCACUUAUUGUACGUCGCUUUGGAUAAAAGCGUCAGCUAAAUGACAUGUAAUGUAAUGUAAUGUAGACAAUGCAACCAUUUCAAAGUGCUUUUUUUUAACCCAUUUAAAAAUGACCUCAUAAAUGUGUCUUAUCAAAAUGGGGAUUAUGCUACAAGCGUAAUAUAUUGCUUUAAAACAGCCUCCUUGAUCUGCAAAUCAUUUGUCAUCAGUGGUUUCGCUGCAGACGACAACAUUCCAGGCUGCUCCGGUUCGGGUGACUGACAGCACGACAACAAACCAUUACUAGGGAGCGAGGAUUCAUCGUCACGCAAACGGCACAUAUCGUGCAUACCAAAGCACACAUUGCAAUAGAAUGAAUUGCAAGAUGAAUGCUAUUUAGGUGCUGCUGUUGUCACCUCUUUCCCCUCCAAACUGCAUACGGUGCUGAACGUUCUCGGCCUCCGUGGAGCCCCAGUCGCAGACCACAGGGUUAAAAGUACAAACACAACGCGGCCUGAAUUCAAAGGCAGCCUCCCCGGCUGUUUAGGAGCCGGCAGGAUGGUAUGGACAAAGGGGGACACACUCCCACCACAUGAGAACCAUUCAUACGGAGAUGGUACCAAGCAAACACGGCCAACCACACAAACAAACAACCCCGCUUGUGCGUAUUCUCCAGUGCACUCGCGCCGAGGCUCGCACAACAGUCAUUUAGCAGAGACAUCACAGACCCACGGCUCGUUUUGUAUUUUAUCAAGAGUUGUCCAUCACCUCCGACCAUGAGUUUUGAUCGCCGCUCAAAAAAAUCCCCCUCGACUGAUGAGGUCAGAAGGACAGAUAGAAGAAAAUGCAGCAUUCAGCUGGAUAAAAACGACGCACCCGGGCACAUAAUGACCAGCAACUCCCUGCACACCGUACAAAGUUCUAACAGCUGUAAUGUAUAUUGUCUAUGGUAUAAAUACCGCGGGUGUUCGUUAGAGCUCCAGAACUUGUGUCCUGUACAAACUGUACGAGUCGGAUAUGCAUCGAUGCCGGAAUGAAAGAAGCAGCAGCUUCACAGCGUUUAUUGUUUUUCUCUCUCACAGCCUUUCAACUUAUAACUCGUAUCCAACCACUUUACGUCUGCCAACGAGACACUUCAGCAGGUGGAGGUGAAAAAAGAUGAAAAACAUUUAAAAUGUAAAUAAUAAGUAAAAGGUAAGUAAUUGUCACAAUGAAAAUGCUAGAGAAACUUCAUGGUUGACCACCUCAAAAUAAAAGUUAGUUUAACUUAAUUCUCCCUUCAAUUAAAUAUUUUAGUUGGGCUUUUCAUUUCUAUUCAUUUAAAAUGUAUAACCUGCUUUGUCCAUUAUAAUAGAGCCCUUUAAAAAAAGAAAAAAAGCUUUAAUUUAAUUGCUUAUAUAAAUACGACAGGUACAGAACGCAGCUGGAGAACAUUUAACCAAAACAACUAUAUGUAUUCAGUUGUCAGCCGUCAGGUUAUGAGAACGCCGCACCUCUCAAAUUAUCAGAAAAUUGAACAAAGAAAUGCAUGAAACCGAAUUCGUGGUAUUCUCGUAACUCUUUCUUUCUCUUUCUAGGAAUCAAGCCUUGCUAUCACAAGACAAUCUGAACAGGAGGGACGCCAGGUACCCGACCCUCUCAACCAAGAUGCAUUUGGCAUCAUUAUUUCGACGCCGACUCCCCUUUGGAUCAUGGAGAACAAUCUUUUUACAAUAUUACAAUCAAGAUAAUAUAUCAUUGUUAUCAGAUUCACUUUCUGAGAAAUGCGUUUCUGAGGCAAUAUCACACUACGGUAAAACACAUCAGUCAGCGUCGGAUGAGUCGCAACAAUUUUCCGUUGUUUGCUUAUGCAACACACCUGCAGGUGUUGCAUAAGCAGCGGUGCCAGAGUGCAAGCACGUUUUGUCAGUGUACAGCCAAGCCUGAAUGGGAUUAGAGCAACGUGGAGGAGGAACGAGGAUGAAACCAUGUUGGUUUUCUGUGAAAAGAAAAUAGCGACAACAUCUUGCCGUGACGAAGUAGAAUUAGAGCGAAGAUGAUUAUUGUGUGAAUCGGGGGUCCAUUGCCCGGAUUCUUAGAGAUUUCAUGUCGGCAUCAGAAAACGACGCGUUCAUCUUGCCUGCAGCCUCGUCAUUGUAAAUGCAGCAUGAACUAGCUGGUGUAGGUCGUUCCAUCUCUGGUGGUCCAUGUUGUUUGUACGUUGGAACCACAAACAGAUUUUUCAUGGUUGGGGACUUGGGGGCCCAUGGUUGGGCGUGAGGAAAAGGCCUUGGCUUUUGUCACAUUGUCUAUAUUUGGUGUUGCAAACAGGAAAAUAAUAUUUGUCUCAUGCUUGCAUGUUGUAAGACACCUUUUAAUUUUUGGACUUUCCAUAUUCCAUUCCACUAUUGAAACCAAAACCCAGCGGAGAUUUGUUGUUUUAGCUUUUCCUUUCUAUCGGUUCACUUGCAUCCAGAACAGUCAAGUCACUUUUUUGUUGUUGUUCACUUGCCAAAAAAAAGUAUACAAUCCCUGUCUCUUGGGAGGGACAUUCAAAUCAGUGUGGCAAAGCCUGUGUUGCAUAACCUCUAAGACAGAGCUCAGAGCAGAGACUGUCUCGUCUCAGCAGACUCAACAAGCUUCACACGCAACGCUCCCAAAGUGAAGGGUUUGUGUGUACAUGCCUUACAUGUGUGCGUUAAGUCUCGCCUACUUUGCUUUUUCUGCUUUCAACCCGUGGCUGGUUUUUAUUAUCCCAUUGUUCACUGGUAUAUGAGUGGCUCACACCUUUCGUUACAAAGAUCAUUCUCUUUUGUUAGUCAUUAAUCCGUGUCAACAUGUGUCUCUUUUUAAAUUCUGCAGGAACAUAUUUGAAAUUCAAAAGUGAGCAAACACAAAAACCAAAAGACAUCUUUUUUUUUUUUUUAGUUUGGCAGACUUUCUCAUAAAAUGUUUUAGAGUGAUGAAAUUAAGUGAUGGAAAGAUACACUAAGAGCUCCAUUAAAUGCAAAGUACUACAUUUCGCAGAUGACAUGCUCAGAUUAUCGUUUAUUGUGUCCCACAACCUGGAAUGGUCCUCAAAGAAAUGAAAUGCUUUUCUUUGCAGUUUACUUGUUCUUUGAGGACGUUUGUCUGUUAUGGCUGCCAGAAGUCUUGCAUCCACAUUCAGUCCAGAUCAUCUAAAUGUUCAGCCGGGGUAUUAAAGUAUCUGUACUCCAACACAACAAAACCCGACGACACCGGUGCUCAGUGACACUAAGUGUCUUUCCAGUGUCCAUCGUUGACUCAUAGCAACCAGUCAAAUGACAACAAAGAAAGGAAAAGGCUGUUUUACUUCGACUCUUAGUUCCUUUGUCAAACAUAGCAGCAAUUUGUUGACGAGGGGAGAGACAGAGGCGGUGAGACGUGACGCUGCCUGUUUUAUUUUGGCAGAUUUUCUUCCAUUUAGAAAAUUCUGACAUUCUGGAUUGACUCGUCCUGCAAAGAGACGAAAAAAAAUGAUGCAACGUAUAAAAUCCAAGCAAACUAGCCAAGUAUCGUGUCAUGAAGAAUCACCCAAACAUAUGGGAUGUGAGGGUUUCGUAUAGAAACAGAAUGAAGGAAAGUCUAGAUUGUAACAGAGGAAAUUAUGGGCUGCGUGGUGAAAACAAAAUAUUGGAAAAGACAAUGGCUGUCAAUUUUCCCUGAGGAUUUCUUUCUGUUCCGCUCCAGUUAUUCAACGACAAGGAAGUGUCGUUUUCCCUGUUGGCCCAACAUGUCUGCGACAUUUGAACUAAAUCCGUUGCUUUGUUUCUGUUACAGCGAGAGGAACAUCACAAAGUGAGGAAAAGGGUAUAAAUCAAGACAUCAGUGGCCAACCAGAUUAUAAUGUUUCAAUUCCUCGGUUAUCACGUCCUACCAUCUGAGCUAUCUAUUAAAAGGUUCUCACAGUGUUACUGAGAUUAGAAUAAACGGAGGAAAGGUUUGAAACCCUCCUGGCUUUUCCUGGUGCUGCCUCAGCUGCAGCGUGGGACUCACAAAGCACUAUUCAGGGCUGCGUUUUCAAGGAGUUUCCUGCGGAAAAGCUAUUCUGGCCAACUGACAAGACAAACAUGCGCUCUCUCUCUCUCUCUCUCUCUCUUUCUCUCUCUCUCGUGCCACUGCAGCGACUUGUAUAAGUUGGACAGGAAGCAUCACAGUCCCACUUCAGAAUCGUUGCCUCUCGGCGGUCGAAGCACCGGCCUGAACUCCCUCGUAAUGUGAAUGCGUAGCUGCGCUUCCCUGUAUCUGCUGAGGACAACGUAUCUGCUGGGAAGAUACUGGGAUUCUUGUUGAUAUUAUGCAAUUCAAAACAAACAAAAACAUUUCCUCUGACCCACACAGGCAGCACCGGCUCAUUCAAAUCAGCCAACCGCAGCGUAACUUUGGCCAAUGAUUCAUCAUCAAAAUGGAUCAAUCAAUAGUGGCACUAACUUCAGUCUUACUUUGUCCUGCAAGAACAAUGAACUGCUGAGGAAUGUGUCAACAUGAUGGGAUGAGAGGCUGUUAAAGACAUGUUAUUGACUAUUUGGUCAGCAGUGCGUUCAUGCUAAUUAAUAUUAUCUUGGCUUUAGAUCAUGUAGAUCUAAUCAGCUGCAUUGACAGUUUGCUAAAUACAUGUCACAUGAACAACCUUACUUUUGAUAAAUGUCAGAGCCAGAGCCAGCCAGCUCUAAAACCCUGGUUUUGUUGAUCUCAACAGUAAAUGUGUUCAUGCUGGAAAUCCAGAAUCCAAAGAAGAACCCAGUUAAAAUGUACUGUUGUGACAUGCUGCAGUCUUGGACACAUUUACAUGUAUUUACAUGUUAACCUCACAGUAAUCUCCGGCUCUAUUGGGUUUUUUGAAGGGUGGACUGUGUGGGACAAACACAACUGACGGAUACAGUUCAUGUUUAAUCACUUGCUCUUUUUUGUCUUCCUCCAGUAGCCCAUCCCAUCAGGCAUUAGGCCUUUUUUGUUAACACAAGACAUCCAAACUGGUUAUGGAUACUCAUGCUCCUCUCUCUAUUACAGCUACAAAUGAUAUACAAAUUACGAAAGGUGUUGACUUUCAAUCAAUUCAAUCAUCCCCUUUCGGACUACAAUUUCAUAAUAGUUAAUUUAUGUAAAGCAAACAUUUUGACUAUUUCAUAGGAUGUUAAGAGGCUAAUGUGGAGUUUCAAUGCUGUUGGGACCAGUAAAUAAAUACCGGUAUGUAAGAGUUCGUUCUCACUAUUCAGAGCUUCUGUAUAUAAUCUGAUCCAAUACAUGAAAGCGGAUCAGAGCAAACUUUACCUCUUUCAAAGAACCUGAGUAAGUUGCUCAACUGUGCGUAUCACUGCAAUUAAGUUCAUUUGUAUAUAACUGACACGUUCUCAGGGUGCUAAAGAUUCUUGUCUACCACUUAAUGUCCACCCAAACCUUCAGAAGCAGGCGUUUCACACUUAAAAGCGGGUCCUGGAGACUUCAGACUCUGUUUAUAUGCAUAACAAAGGUUCCCAUCAAAGGAGGAGACAUUAUGGUUUCAUUUUGGUAUCAAAUGCGCGAGGAGUUUUAUAUCUCAAUUUAAAUUUUUUUUACUGGUUGUGAAAAGAAACACAAAAAACAUUAAAAGAUUACACCGUGCCUUUUGGAUUUAGCUCAAACAACCUCAAAGUCUUGGACUCACUGAAAUACAUCCCAUUUAUAUUCCUAUAAAUCAAGUCAAUGAAAACAGCUGCUGAACUGGCAGAAAGCAUUUUUAAUGGAUCCUAAAUCCAACACGUGCGUAGUAAAGCGUUUGUGUUGAAGUCUGAGCAGUUGAGUGUUUCUCAUGAACUUUACAGCUCUUUUAGAAUACGCCAUGUAACUAAUUGCCAAAUCCAAAUUAAGAUGCCGAAUCCAACUCUGCUAUGCUGAUAAACAAUGUUGGAACCUCCUCCCCACGACCUACGACGAAGACGCUGAUGGAAUUUGAUGCAUUAGUUGUUCACGCCACAGUCCAAAUGUGUUCAUAGUGUGCACAUGAGAGAAUGUCGUCCUUGUUGAAACCACCAAUUUAUGAAUGCCUCCGAUUUACAACAACGGGGGCUCUUGUUCAAAGCGGCUGCGACUGGAUCCCAGUGAGACACUGGGUGCUGUCUAAUAAGGUCCCAUUGCGUCAGUCAGGACGAGUCACCGGCUGACUGUGUGUGUGAGAUGUGGCUUUGUCCUUGAUAAACAAAUAGACUAACAAAUAAACAACAAAUUCAAAUUCAAGGAGAAGCAGAUUGAGUAAAUUGGUAUAAACAGUGUGACAUGAAACUACCAUGAUGUCACCAGGCAUUUUUUAAAUUGAUUUAUCUGUCUAGUGUUCAAGCCUCUUGUCUUACCACAGGAUAGGUGGGCUGAUUUGUGAAAUAUAUCCAUUUUCACGCUCAAUAAGUAAUAAGCAAUAGUCAGAGAAAAAGUUAAUGCAUAAAAAAGGUAUCUAUUAUAUUACAGUGUUUGCGCCCUUCUGGUAUCACACGUUUUUGUACGCCAUCAUGCAACCUUUAAUUUCUUUAUUUAAUGUCAAGAUUGACACUAAUGUGGCGUCCUGCUCCGGUUAUUCACAUUUAGAUUUAUUACUUAGCUGUUUUAUCGAUAGCGACUUACGAUAAGUGCAUUCAACAAAGAGGCCAGCAGAACCAGAACAGGUUAUCCAGGGAUUCGGGGUGAUUCUGCGAGGCCAAUGCAGACUUGCAGGAAGCGUGCAUGAAGUGCUCAAACGGUGUGUGAAAGAGCCCUCGCAGUCGACAGCGGGCCAGAAAGCCCUCGUGCUCUUCAGAGUCUGUGAGCGUGCGAGUGUAGACGUCCGGAUUGAGCCACAGGCCGACCAGCAUGCCGUGUUCCGUGACCUCUUUCACCCCCGUCACCUGCUGUCUGCUGCCAAUCGGGGCGGACUGCUGGAAUAAGUGCCACUUUAACCCAGGUGGCAUCAAUCUCCUGCCGUUCGUAGCCAUUUGGGAUUGAAGAGACGUUGUGACAAAAGACGAUGAAAUGUGUACUCUUAAGUAUGAGCAAAAACGCUGCGAAACAAGUGAACAUUCCCUUCUAAUGAAGUGAUCAACAUUACGGCAUGAAAAAUGAACCACCAAGAUAAUUCAAAGGGGAAGUGUAGUCAUUCUUCUUAAAGGGUCAGCCAGGUCAGGGAAUCAGCCCCGCUUCAGGAAACCACCUUGAACAGAAAGACUGACCAUAACUGACCAAGCGGUUCUUAAACCGCACGGCUCAUAUCGGCCACAUUAAGUGGUGACCAAAUGAGCGAGAGGUUUGUGCACCUUUCUCACAGCACCAACUUUGAUACAAUUGCAACAUACACAGCAUACAUAGAUAACUUCAAAUGUUAUUAAAUAACAUUGUUUUCACAUAAAAUUGCAAUGUUUUAUUUAUAUAAUAUGGAAAUACACGAUAGUGUUGAAGGAUUAUUUAACCGUUUACUGUUACUAACAGUUACUUUGUUCUGAUUAUGUACUACCUUAUAUUUAUAACCCUGAGGCUCUAAGGAUUAGUCGAAUGAACAAACAAAUUGGUCCCCACACUGGUGGGGUGUUGAUACGAGGCUGGUGGUGUUGGGGUUUAAGGGUUCACCCUUUGGUCUGCAGCCAUUGAAGGAACAACACACCAAGCUGUGGUUAGGUUUAAUCUGCUUGGCACAAAGAUGACUGCCUUCUCCAGAUAAUUCUGGAUAAACAUGGAGAUUCUGUUGCUAAGGCAUCACAAAACGUUCUCUUUUCUUUAGCGUAAAAAUAAAGGUAUGAUACAAAAAGAAAAACAUCUCAGUACAUAUUUUGACAUCUCAGAAAUGGAAUUCUACCUAUUUAAUGGACACAUUUCUGGACCAAAACAGCUGGAUUCUUUUAGGUGGCCCCGGAUAGAACUUUAGCUUAAAGUAUUCAUUACGGCAGCGUUGCAAACUAAAACCCCCCUAAAAAUGAAAAUGUGCAGGUCUUCUCUUCCCUUUAAGGGGUUUUGGGAAUGGGGAGAAUGUAUCACUCCUAAGCCUGACCCUAAAUCCUACCUACAGAAUAUAGAAAGACAGAAGACACCUUGUCUCGCCGGCUCUGCUGAUCAUUUCAUACGUAAGCAGCAGCGGGACAGCGUGUUAUUUUUGUAACAAGUCUUCUGAAAACAACAUAUAAUGUGCCGCCGUUCCCCGCAGUAAAGAGCUGAGUCGACAGAUGUCUAUUCAUAACAUCUGGUGGCCUGGCACUGGGCGAAGUCUCAUAAUUCUCUGCGGAGGGGAGCGCCCAACGCUUCCACCAGGGGUUUGUUGUGUUGAUCUAGCGGUUAAAAAUGUUCUUUUGAGGAAUGCAAUAAUAUGUCAUUUAGAAAAUACUCUAAACUAACUUGUGCUUUGCAUGUUGGUGGCCCACAACCAGAGAGAUGGGUUAAUAGUUUAAAAUUGAAGGCCUUUAAAACCCCCAAAUCAUGUGCCUGUGCAGUAAAUUGAUCAUCAAGUCAUGUUUAAUAACCUGCCCGUCUUUUAUCCUUUUUAUGAAGUACACCGCGGUGAUGCAAUGCUGCAUGAUCAGGCCGUUUGUCAAAAUCACAUAUCUUAAAUCUUAGCCCAGAGUGCAGCAUCAAUUACUAAACAUUUUUUUUAUUUGCACAAAUAGGAAAAGUAUUAAUAAAGAAAAAAAAAGCCCCCCUUUGCCUGUUUUUGUUUCAUUUCAGUUCACCUAUCCAUCAUGAGAAGCCACGUUGCCUGUAAAGUGUAAUUUGGGGGUUUUACGGUUGCUCCAGAUAUUCCACGAAGGCCACAUUUAUUCACUGUGUACGGUUACAUCUCUUUUUCCCAUGCACGACGCAGCUUUGUAGAUCCCCUGCUGUGGCACACAGAGGGAAAUUGCCCUCUCUGACUGCUUCGAGGCUUCGUUGGCUAUUUAGACAGCUGCACGCAUCAGCCUCGUCUUACUAAAGCAGAUGAAAUAACUCCAUUGCAUUUGCAUAACUAAUUGCACAACACACAGGUUUAUUUAUUUUGGGUUCAUUGCGUUAAUCGAGAUAAUCCACCUGCUAGUUUCAAUGAGCUUAAGCAGAAUUACUCUCCAGCGGCGGCCUUACCGACACACUUUGGACAAUGGCCACCAGGCACUGAGUGUGUCUCAACUUUGUCCAGCUUUUCUACUGAAAGAAGCCGUGCCAGGACUCCUGGUGACACACAUCUGUGCUAAGUGGGAUUUCCACAGCUGACCAGGGUGUGACCCACUUCCCUCUCUCUUUAUCCCAACCCCCUCUGCGUUCAAGGCCUGGGAAAAUCAUGUCAUUAUUAAACACAAGAGCUCAACACUUCCACUUUGCGCUUCAGACCACGGGGCUCAAAGCUUCUAUUAUGGGACGCUGCUGGUUUGCCGUCAGGAAGCAGCGGAGGAAUUUCUUCGUCAGAUUUUCUGCGUUGAUUACUGGUUUCCCUCUACCGCGGUUACCAUGGAGAAAGAAAAACAAGCCGAGACACACCAACACACUCUGCGAUACGGAGAUGAGAGGGCUGGAAGGAAAUAAGGAGUCACGCCUGUGAGAGUAAUUAGUCUUUAAAUAGCCCACCCCCCGUUUGGUUGUGCCACAUUGAAACUAGGUGUGCAUGAAGGAGAGGAACGGUGAUGCAUGUUUUCAUCCCAGGAGAAUUUAGCUUUUCAGUGGGUGAGUUUCAUCCACAACAGAGGCUUUAUUUGCCUUCAGCCCCUGUAAGUGCAGACAGAAUCAGGAGUGGAGUAAACCACAGAUCCUCUCCAAGUGCUCUCCUGGGAAAUCUGCUGUAUAGAUAGGAGCAUGGCUGCCUGAUACCAAACAGGAAGAGCGAUGAGCUCAUUUCUCAGUUUAGGAAAAGAUGUGUCAUGUGUCAAAAAUGCUGUGUGUAUGUAUUUGUUUUCAAAGCUCAUACGGGGACACACAGAGACAGACGUUUGUAGACAAACACGAGGAGAAAACAACCCACCUAAGAAGGCAAACAUUGGGGUGUAUUUGUUUGACCACACCCACCCACCCACACACACACACACACACACACACACACACAUACAAUGGCAGACUGGCUCCAAGACAGCAAAGCCACAGCCGGUGCUGGCAAUGAUAGUUGGAGUUGAAUUUACAAACCGCCACCCAAAGCUCCCCCACCUUUUCCCGCUCUACUAACAUUAUCUAUACAAAAAGUGGGUUUAUCAGCAAUCGAUUAUUUACUGUAAUCUUAUUCAUGUGGGAUUUUCACUUAUACUUCCUUACAGACCAGUUUGACGCAGCUGAUUGUGUGUUAACAGGGUUGCUGUCACCACCUUAACUAUUGGUACUGUAUCGUCAAAUAUCUCAGCCGAUAUUAAGAUGGUAUCUGGAUGAAUUAGGGGGAUAUCUCUCCUUUUAUCGUUUUAGCUGCAUGCGGUCCGUCCGUAUGAUAAGGAUGAGUUUUCUCAAGUUGUGUAAGCCUUUUUAACGCUUUACAGUACAUCACCUUUUGGAGGAGGGCUCUCUCGCCACCAAACAAAAUAUACCUGCUAGACUACGAUGAGCGUGUGUGACUGCCAUUAGUCAUGCAACAGACACACUUGUCAAAGUGCAUGGCCUUGAGCAGGUCUUUGCCUGUGUGUAGCGUGUCUGAGUGCAAACAGAUGGGAAUGCAAACACACGCGGGUAAUGUCUAGCGCUAAACACACAACAGGAUUACUGUGGCCGGCUUAGAGAAAAGUACAGUGUUCACGAAGGAGGCGGCAGUUUCUGUCCCUUUAGUUUCAGGGGAAUGGAUGGGUAAUUAUGUAAAGAAAACCACACAAGCAGAGAUGCCGCUAUUCUUAACGCCAACAGAAAAUGUUCUCUGUCUUUCUUCUAAAUAUUCACACACGUAAUUCAAUGUUAUGUGGUGUGUGACAAGAAUCCACCAUUCCCGGGUUGGCCGGGGGACUGGACUCAACCCCAGCUGGCCAUCGGGCGAGAGACGGGGUCGCUGGGCCGGCAACCAUUAACUCUCACGUCGAGACACCUACGGGCAACAUAAGAGUUGCCAAUUAACUUAAACCCCAUGGAGAACGAGCAGACUCCACAACUACAACACAUCGUAGCAGAGCAGAGCAGCAGGUGUUGAAUGCUUGCGGAUGCAGAGGUGCAGCAGUAGUAACACAGCGUUGACAGGCUGCCCCAUGUGUUUAACAGCCUGUUUCCUGGUCACGUAUUGUUUUGUUUUAAGUAUUCUCAGUGCCGGUUGCUGCCCAUACCUGUAGAGGGGUGCCAGUGCCAUCUGGUUAAUAUGCACCUGUUCCUGUCAGUAAUUUAGUCAGUUGUAAGUUAGAUGCAACUUAGUUGAUCUAGAAGAGAUAAUUAAUUACUUAUUGCAAUAUUGUUAUUAAGCCGUCAGCCAAAGAAUUUCCGUACAACCGCGAGAGGAAUUACAGCUCCUCACUAUAGUUACAUGGUAGAAACUGUGACGCGAACACCAUAAUUGCAUCACUUCUACUGUCUAUUAAAGGUAUGUAGGCAGGGAUGAACAGUCACUCUUUCUAUGACUCACCGGCCCGGCUGCACUCUCCUCUUAUGCCUGGUUACCAACACCAACAACAACAGCAGCAACACGUUGCUCCAUGGCAACUGUGUUUGUCCAGGGUGGCGUGAGCUCACAUUGCGGAUGCAAUAAGACGCUAUUGUUUCUGAGAAAAAAAUGGAGACACACAAACGCCAAGAAACUCUCUCUGUUAGCGUGAAAUGCCUCCACAGCAUCUUCUUAUCAUAUCUGUUUGGCAUCGUGGGGCUACGAUCUCAGGACUCUCAGUCUUACACUUAUUUCAUUUUAACUCCCCCCCACUUGUCCUGUUUCAUUUUAAGUGGGCUCUUCAAUAUCCCACUCCUCUCUGAGGCGUCCCACUGGAGGAUGCAUUAAACUGAAGUUACCUUCCUCAGCUGUCUGAGGUGUUACUGUCAUUUCCCGCCAUGCGAGAAGGUCAAAUUCUCUAUGGAUUUACUGUUUAUUACAAUAGAUUAGAAUCUCCUUUCAUCCUUUUCUAAACACACCAUGCUACCUUGAGGGAACAGAUGGAAGAUAAUUAAGGAGAAUCAGGGAUUUCCCUGGGGUUCUUCUACACUUAGAUACCGGUAUGUCUGGUUAUGUUCAUUACAUUGUAUGCAUGUGUGUCUGGUUUGACUAUUAGAAGUCAAGAAAAAGAAGCCUUGUUGUACCAGAGAAAAAGUUAUUAGCUGGUGUAAUUUUCUCUCUGAUGUUUCCAACCUUUACAAUUUGGGGCCCUUCCUAUUAAAAGCACACUUCGUAUUCUAUAAUGACUUCUUCAGAUCACAUCAGACCCAUCGUCGAUGAUGUGAUCUGAAGUGGUCAACUGAAGUCAACAUCACUGCCAAGAUGGCCACGACCAGAGCGGCCAACUUUGAGGUCUACAUUGGGCCAUCAUGAAGACUAUAUUAUAUGCAGUGUAGAGAAAAAAACAGCUCCUUUAGAAUAUUAAACCACUCACAAAAAGCAAGGGUUCAUAAAUAGUUUCACAAUAAAGCAUUUGGUAUUUUUAGUAUUGCUUUUAUCUUCAAUGCUAUGGCUCUAUGACGACUUCACAAACAAGGUAAAUGAGAGUAAAUAUAGCAAUGAAUGGACACACUCCUACACACAUGUACCUUCAAAUCAAAAGUUAAUAUUCUGGAAGAAUUUGAGGCUGGUUUUCCCCGUUAACACCUAAUAAAAUGAACAAAUGGAAACACACACAAAUGGAUGCAUAUUCCGAAUGGGAAACUGAAACCGCUGCAAAAUUGUGAGAUAUUUUAGACAUUUACACUACAAACAAUCCAAAUGGAUUAUCAGCAGCAUUUUCUUAACUGAGCAUUCUGCAUUGCCUUGCCUGACACGUCAUGUAUGAACACAUUAUGCUGAUUGUAUGAGGGUUGAACCUCUAAAAAACUGUGAGAAAAGCGUUGGGAUAAAAUCCUUCUGUGUUGAAAAUCACAAGCCCAUUCUACUGAGCGAGACAACGUUCAGUUUCAGCUGCAGAAAAAGGGACGGAGAGUGGAUGACGAUGACGUCAAGCCCGGGAGCUCAGACGUUUUCUUUUAUCAGCUUCCUGUUUACCUUCUUCUCUGUCUGCUUCUGUCAGCAGGAGUGCUGGGAAACACCUUCCACCCAGUUCUCUGGGAGAGGCAGGGGGGGGGCCCAGCGGUCAAUGUCAACAGCAGGACCUGUUGAAACCAGACCCCUCACCAGGCCUUUUAAGGACAGGCUUCCAUCUCUGAGCGAAAGCAGAGGGUUGGAGGGAAGGAGGGUGUGUGUGUGUGUGUGGGGGGGGGGGGGGUUAGAAACAGAAAGGCUAAUGAUUAAAUGGGGGGGGAG
ensembl:lncRNA